ACUCAAAUGAAUAGACGGGGACCCGCACAAGCGGCGGAGCAUGUGGCUUAAUUCGAUGCAACGCGAAGAACCUUACCUGGGCUUGACAUGCUAGUUAAAGCGGAUGAAAGUCCGUGUCCUUCGGGGGCUAGCACAGGUGCUGCAUGGCUGUCGUCAGCUCGUGCCGUGAGGUGUUGGCUUAAGUGCCGCAACGAGCGCAACCCCUACCCUUAGUUGCCAGCGGGUAAUGCCGGGGACUCUAAGGGGACUGCCGGGGACAACUCGGAGGAAGGUGGGGACGAGGUCAAGUCCGCAUGGCCCUUAUGCCCAGGGCUGCACACAUGCUACAUUGCGCGCUACAAAGGGCUGCGAUCCCGCAAGGAGGAGCGAAUCCCAAAAAGGCGCGCCAGGUUCGGAUCGGGGUCUGCAACUCGACCCCGUGAAGGCGGAGUCGCUAGUAAUCGCGGAUCAGCAACGUCGCGGUGAAUACGUUCCCGGGUCUUGUACACACCGCCCGU
rnacentral:rRNA from 1 species